rnacentral:tRNA from 1 species
GAGGCCGUGAUCCCGAUCGGUAAGGGGGUUUCGCUUGCGCGGAAUGGAUGCCGGUUCGACCCCGGCCCGGCCUCG